rnacentral:rRNA from 1 species
CUACCCUUGGGUGGGGGAUAGCCCUGCGAAAGUGGGUUUAAUACCGCAUAAAGUAUGUUGCUUGGAAGGUGGCAUAUGAAAAGCUUUGGUUGCCUGAGGAUGAAUCUGCGUACCAUUAGUUAGUUGGUAGGGUAAGAGCCUACCAAGGCGAGGAUGGUUAGCCGGUCUGAGAGGAUGGUCGGUCACAUUGGGACUGAGAUACGGCCCACACUCCUACGGGAGGCAGCAGCUAACAAUCUUCCGCAAUGGACGAGAGCCUGACGGAUCGACGCCGCGUGUACCAAGAAGGCCCUUUGGGUUGUAAAGUCCUUUUCAUAUAGAAGAAUGCUAGAUGUAGGUUUAGUUGACGGUAUAUAUGGAAUAAGCCCCGGCUAAUUACGUGCCAGCAGCCGCGGUAAUACGUAAGGCGCGAGCGUUGUUCGGAAUUAUUGGUCAUAAAGGGCGCGUAGGCGGUCUUUCAAGUUAUAGGUGAAAAGUCAGUGCUUAACAUUGAUCGUGCCUAUAAAACUGGACGACCAUAGUUUAAGAGAGGAUGCCGGAAUUCCUGGUGUACGGGUGCAAUCUAUAGAUAUCAGGAGGAACACCUGUGGCGAAGGCGGGCAUCUGGCCUCUGACUGACGCUGAUGUGCGAAAGCGUGGGGAGCGAACAGGAUUAGAUACCCUGGUAGUCCACGCAGUAAACGUUGUAUACUAGGUGUAUGGGGUAUCGAUCCCCUGCGUGCCGAAGCAAAUGUGAUAAGUAUACCGCCUGGGGAGUAUGCCGGCAACGGUGAAACUCAAAGGAAUUGAUGGGGGCCCGCACCAGCGGUGGAGCAUGUGGUUUAAUUCGAUGAUACGCGAAGAACCUUACCUGGGCUUGACAUGGUGCCUGACUGAUAAGAGAUUAUCAGGCUCUUCGGAGGGGCAUCACAGGUGCGGCAUGUCUGUCGUCACACUCGUGUGGUGAGAUGUGGGGUUAUGUCCCGCAACGAGCGCAACCCUCAUGGUUAGUCGCCAUAGGGUAAUGCCGGGCACUCUAGCCAAACUGCCGGACGUAAUCCGGAGGAAGGUGGGGAUGACGUCAAGUCCUCAUGGCCUUUAUGUCCAGGGCUACACACGUGCUACAAUGGUCGGUUCAAAGAGGAGGCGAGACUAUAAGAGGAGCCAAUCUCAAAA